AUGGUUUCUCCUUUCAGCCCGCUUGCUUGUUUGUUAAUGUCCAUCUUUUUUGAACUAUCAUGCAGAAACUUUAAUCUAUUGUGCAGAAUACAUUUCUUCAGAGAAACCGUUGGUCGUGUGCAGAAUAUAUUUCUUCAGAAAAUGUGUUAUUGUGCAGAAACUACAAUGAAGUUGUCGGGGAGAAGAUCCAGUGAACUCGGCUACAUCGGGUUGGGUCAAAGUGACUGUAAUUCGCAACAGCAGUGCCACGGUUCAGUUCAGCAUGGGGACCAACUACCUCUACAAUGUCCACUCCUACUGGUCUCUGACCUGUCAAACAAGAAGACAUGGUGCAGCUAG
rnacentral:rRNA from 1 species